AACGGCCGUACCAUGCUGAAUAUACCGGUUCUCGUUAGAUCACCGAAGUCAAGCAUCAUUGGGCGCGGUCAGUAUUUGGGUGGGUGACCACCUGGGAACACCGCGUGCCGUU
rnacentral:rRNA from 1 species